rnacentral:tRNA from 1 species
UGGGGUAUAGCUCAGCAGUAGACCAUGUGCUUUGCAAGCAUGAAGCCCUAGGUUCAAUCCUUAGCACCAUAA